UGAACGCUGGCGGCAUGCUUUACACAUGCAAGUCGAACGGUAACGCGGGCUUCGGCCUGGCGACGAGUGGCGAACGGGUGAGUACAACAUCGGAACGUAUCCUGAAGUGGGGGAUAGCCCGGCGAAAGCCGGAUUAAUACCGCAUGAUCUCUUAGGAGCAAAGCGGGGGAGCCGUAAGGUCCUCGCGCUAUUGGAGCGGCCGAUGCCGGAUUAGCUUGUUGGUGGGGUAAAGGCCUACCAAGGCAACGAUCCGUAGCUGGUCUGAGAGGAUGAUCAGCCACACUGGAACUGAGACACGGUCCAGACUCCUACGGGAGGCAGCAGUGGGGAAUUUUGGACAAUGGGGGCAACCCUGAUCCAGCCAUGCCGCGUGCGGGAAGAAGGCCUUCGGGUUGUAAACCGCUUUCAUACGGGACGAAAUGGUGCAGGUUAAUACCCUGUAUUGAUGACGGUACCGUAAGAAGAAGCACCGGCUAACUAC
rnacentral:rRNA from 1 species